CAGGGAAUCUUGCACAAUGGGCGAAAGCCUGAUGCGGCGACGCCGCGUGGGGGAUGAAGGCCCUAGGGUCGUAAACCCCUUUCAGCAGGGACGAAGAUGACGGUACCUGCAGAAGAAGCCCCGGCCAACUACGUGCCAGCAGCCGCGGUAAGACGUAGGGGGCGAGCGUUGUCCGGAUUUAUUGGGCGUAAAGAGCUCGUAGGCGGUUGCGUAAGUCGGAUGUGAAAACUCAGGGCUCAACCCUGAGACGCCAUCCGAUACUGCGCUGACUUGAAUCCAGUAGGGGAGUGCGGAAUUCCUGGUGUAGCGGUGAAAUGCGCAGAUAUCAGGAGGAACACCCAUGGCGAAGGCAGCACUCUGGGCUGGUAUUGACGCUGAGGAGCGAAAGCAUGGGUAGCGAACAGGAUUAGAUACCCAUGUAGUCCCUGAGCGGGCUGGCAAGGCGCAU
rnacentral:rRNA from 1 species